rnacentral:pre_miRNA from 1 species
GUAAUUAAGGGCAUGAGCAAAAGCUCAUUGAAAUCAAUGGAAAUACUUCUAUAGAUUUCAAUGGGCUUUGGAUCAGGCCCUAAGUAC